AUCUUUUUAGUAUAAUGUUAGUACACUUGCCUUCCAAGUAAGGAGUUUAAAUAUAAAUUUAAAAAAGAUA
rnacentral:tRNA from 1 species